GUAGGUGGCAAGCGUUGUCCGGAUUUACUGGGGCGUAAAGGGGCGUGCAGGCGGGUUCGUUAAGUUCGAGGUGAAAGCUCCCGGCUCAACUGGGAGAGGUCCCCCCCGGAUACUGGCGGACUUGAGGGAGGUAGAGGAAAGUGGAAUUCCCGGUGUAGUGGUGAUAUGCGUAGAUAUCGGGAGGAACACCAGUGGCGAAGGCGGCUUUCUGGGCCUUACCUGACGCUGAGACGCGAAAGCGUGGGGAGCGAACCGGAUUAGAUACCCGGGUAGUCCACGCCGUAAACGAUGGACACUAGGUGUGGGGGGUAUCGACCCCCUCCGUGCCGAAGCCAACGCGAUAAGUGUCCCGCCUGGGGAGUACGGCCGCAAGGCUA
rnacentral:rRNA from 1 species